UACGGAGGAUCCAAGCGUUAUCCGGAUUUAUUGGGUUUAAAGGGCGCGUAGGCGGCUCAUGAAGGCUGUGGUGAAAGUCCGGGGCUCAACCUCGGAUCGGCCGUGGCGACUCGUGGGCUGGAGCACUGUAGAGGCGGGUGGAAUUCCGGGUGUAGCGGUGGAAUGCGUAGAGAUCCGGAAGAACACCAGUGGCGAAGGCGGCCCGCUGGGCAGUGGCUGACGCUGAGGCGCGACAGCGUGGGGAGCAAACAGG
rnacentral:rRNA from 1 species